ACGGUAACUCAUGAAUAAGCACCGGCUAACUACGUGCCAGCAGCCGCGGUCAUACGUAGGGUGCAAGCAUUAUCCGGAGUGACUGGGCGUAAAGAGUUGCGUAGGUGGUUAGUAAAGUGAAUAGUGAAACCUGGUGGCUCAACCAUACAGACUAUUAUUCAAACUCACUAACUCGAGAGUGGUAGAGGUAACUGGAAUUUCUUGUGUAGGAGUGAAAUCCGUAGAUAUAAGAAGGAACACCAAUGGCGUAGGCAGGUUACUGGACCAUUUCUGACACUAAGGCACGAAAGCGUGGGGAGCGAACCGGAUUAGAUACCCGGGUAGUCCACGCCGUAAACGAUGGAUACUAGCUGUCGGGGGUAUCGACCCCCUCGGUAGCGAAGCUAACGCGUUAAGUAUCCCGCCUGUGGAGUACGGUCGCAAGACUAAAACAUAAAGGAAUUGACGGGGGUCAGCACAAGCGGUGGAUUAUGUUCUUUAAUUCGAUGAUAACCGAUGAACCUUACCAGGGUUUGACAUCCAGGAAAGCACUGUGAAAGCAGAGUGUGCCUUUUGGA
rnacentral:rRNA from 1 species